rnacentral:rRNA from 1 species
GACGUAGGGGGCGAGCGUUGUCCGGAUUUAUUGGGCGUAAAGCGUGCGUAGGCGGCUGCGCAAGUCGGUUGUGAAACCCCGGGGCUCAACCCCGGAACUGCAUCCGAUACUGCGUGGCUAGAGGUAGGUAGGGGGAGAUCGGAAUUCCUGGUGUAGCGGUGAAAUGCGCAGAUAUCAGGAGGAACACCGGUGGCGAAGGCGGAUCUCUGGGCCUUACCUGACGCUCAGGCACGAAAGCUAGGGGGAGCGAACAGG